rnacentral:rRNA from 1 species
AGAGUUUGAUCAUGGCUCAGAUUGAACGCUGGCGGCAGGCCUAACACAUGCAAGUCGAGCGGUAGCACAGAGAGCUUGCUCUCGGGUGACGAGCGGCGGACGGGUGAGUAAUGUCUGGGAAACUGCCUGAUGGAGGGGGAUAACUACUGGAAACGGUAGCUAAUACCGCAUAACGUCGCAAGACCAAAGUGGGGGACCUUCAGGCCUCAUGCCAUCAGAUGUGCCCAGAUGGGAUUAGCUAGUAGGUGGGGUAACGGCUCACCUAGGCGACGAUCCCUAGCUGGUCUGAGAGGAUGACCAGCCACACUGGAACUGAGACACGGUCCAGACUCCUACGGGAGGCAGCAGUGGGGAAUAUUGCACAAUGGGCGCAAGCCUGAUGCAGCCAUGCCGCGUGUAUGAAGAAGGCCUUCGGGUUGUAAAGUACUUUCAGCGGGGAGGAAGGCGAUAAGGUUAAUAACCUUGUCGAUUGACGUUACCCGCAGAAGAAGCACCGGCUAACUCCGUGCCAGCAGCCGCGGUAAUACGGAGGGUGCAAGCGUUAAUCGGAAUUACUGGGCGUAAAGCGCACGCAGGCGGUCUGUCAAGUCGGAUGUGAAAUCCCCGGGCUCAACCUGGGAACUGCAUUCGAAACUGGCAGGCUAGAGUCUUGUAGAGGGGGGUAGAAUUCCAGGUGUAGCGGUGAAAUGCGUAGAGAUCUGGAGGAAUACCGGUGGCGAAGGCGGCCCCCUGGACAAAGACUGACGCUCAGGUGCGAAAGCGUGGGGAGCAAACAGGAUUAGAUACCCUGGUAGUCCACGCCGUAAACGAUGUCGAUUUGGAGGUUGUGCCCUUGAGGCGUGGCUUCCGGAGCUAACGCGUUAAAUCGACCGCCUGGGGAGUACGGCCGCAAGGUUAAAACUCAAAUGAAUUGACGGGGGCCCGCACAAGCGGUGGAGCAUGUGGUUUAAUUCGAUGCAACGCGAAGAACCUUACCUGGUCUUGACAUCCACAGAACUUNNNNNNNNNNNNNNNNNNNNNNNNNNNNNNNNNNNNNNNNNNNNNNGUCGUAGUCCGGAUUGGAGUCUGCAACUCGACUCCAUGAAGUCGGAAUCGCUAGUAAUCGUAGAUCAGAAUGCUACGGUGAAUACGUUCCCGGGCCUUGUACACACCGCCCGUCACACCAUGGGAGUGGGUUGCAAAAGAAGUAGGUAGCUUAACCUUCGGGAGGGCGCUUACCACUUUGUGAUUCAUGACUGGGGUGAAGUCGUAACAAGGUAACCGUAGGGGAACCUGCGGUUGGAUCACCU